UAUUAAUAAUUUUUUUUUAUUCUUAUUUCUAUUAAAUAAAAUAAGUAUUUUUACAAUUUCUUUGAAUUACAAAAUAUACAUAAAAGUGAACAGAGAGUGCAAAGGAGAAACAUCUAAAUACUUCACCAGGGAAAAGAAAGACAAAACAUUUAUGGCUACUCAAUCCACACAAAUAUUUACUUCACCAGAAACUUGAUAGUUACCCAAUAUUUAAUAUUUAUGCUAUAAAAACCCUUUUUUUUUCCUCUUUGAGAAAGCAAAUUUUCAUAUUUGUACUACUCACCCAAAAAAGAUACAUCUAAUUUCUCACGCGUUGUACAUAAUAAUACAAUUACUUAAUACUUAUUUGGAAUAGAAAGAAACCCAGAAAGACGUGGAGAGAGUGAUGAAUAAUCUCUCUAACAUGCGCAUGCGCUAUCAAUAAAAACCUUAACAUCAUCAGAAGAAGAUUUAGCCUUGGAAGGAUCAAAUAGCUCCACAGCAUGGAAACCAUCCUCAAAAAAAGCCGAUUCCACUUUCACCCCUUUGGAUUCCAGCUUCCUUACAAACUCUUUCUGCUUGUCAAUCAGUGGGUCCCCUCCAUACCCUCUAACGUAACUCAUCGGAAGCCGUCCGAUCUUCUCAUCGUUUGACCCUUCGACCAUCGGAUUGCAGUACUCGUGAUCACGAUCAGUGUCUUUAGGUAAUGCAAGGGACCACAUGAGAUCAUUGGCUGGCAACGGCAAGAUCUUAUCGUUCAUCAGCCUCAUCUCUGAUUCUGUCCUCAGGACCCCACUAAAAUAGGGCACGUUCAUUAUUAAGCCUCUGAUUUUAAUAGGCGAAAGAUCCAAAUCUACUGCACGUAACCCUGCAUGGUAAACUAUAUUGCCGCCAGCGCUACUGCCCAUCAAGAAACACUUUGAGAAAUCUCCAUGUUCUUUCAACCAAGGAUCACAGCCUUGGGUUCCUAGUGCUUGAUCCCGGACCCACAUGAUAGAAUCAAUAGCGUCAUCGUAGGCGGCCGGAAGGCGGUGUUCAGGAGAGAGGCGAUAAUGGACGGACAAGAUCAAAGCUUGGAAAUGGGACGCCAUGUGAUUGCAAGAUUGGUGGAAAAUGAUAGAGGCAGGAGUGUAGAGGAUAAAGCCACCUCCAUGGUAGUAAAUGAUUAGAGGGAGCUUGGCGUCCGGUGGGGGGUGGAGAGGGCGAAAGAUACGAAUGUAGGUGUGGUUGGUGGGGUUGAGUGGGAUAUCCUUGGAGAGAGCGAGUUGGGGUGAGCUGGAAUCAGUGAGUGGUUUGUCCACUGGAGGUACUUCAGGGAAAUACUGAGGGUUUCUGAAGAGAGAACCAUCUGGGUUUCUGGAAAUUCUGAGGAACGAGUAAGGAUCCAUUAUAGUGUUUGUUGUUGCCUGG
rnacentral:misc_RNA from 1 species